AGAUCUCGGCGCGCCCCUGAGGAGUUUCUGUGGGAAGAUUUUCUGUUUUCCAGGUUUCCCAAGGGAAACGAAGAAAGGGAGGAGGAUAAUCAAUGACUGAACCUCUAAUAGAUGUUGGACGACGUUAAAAAAAAAAUGUAUCGGCCCUACCCUCGAGGAUUUGACAAAUUAGACUGACCAGAGUAAUAAGAGAUACAGGCAGAAGAGGAGACAUAGACACACACAGAGGAGAAGAUGAUGUGAAAAGGGAGGCAGAGAUCACAGUGGUGUGGCUACAAGCCAAGAAAUACCGAAGCCAUCAGAAGUUGGAAGAGAGAACCGAGGAAGUGGAGAUACAGUUCUUCUGGGAAGGGCCCUCUGAAGGGAUGAGCUCCAGAGAUUCUGCACAUUGAUUUUUUGAGGGAAGAGAAGAAAUGGUUAGCCAUGAUUUUAGGGAAGUUUGAAAUAUAAUAUAUAAUAGCUCACAUUAAUUCUACAUUCUAAUCUUUAAAUAUCAAGAUAGCUCCAGGACUAAUCUUUGGAAAUGACAAAUAAAGGGAUAUCGAAUGGCCCACUGAAGAGUAAGUGCAAAUUGAAGAUACGUUUCAGUCACCACUCUAAGCAGUAAGUGACCUUUCCAUCCAAAAGGGUUAAACUUAAAUCCCCCUUCCCAUUGUCAUAGUUUGAAAAACACGUAUCUCUAGAGGAAACACAGAAGACAAAAAUAACUCAGGCAGCAAAUACUUAGGUUGAAUACAGAGACCUGCAACAUCAAAUAGCCACAACAUAUUCUAGAGGGUUUUGGAGGGAAACUAAUCCAUACAAAUCAACUGAUAAAGACUUGGUACUUAAAGACCAUACUCUGAGUCAAUACAUAAGUAAAGACUAAAUUGCAAGAAUAUGGGCAUUGAAGCAAGAAUUUGGCAUUUAAAACAGACAUUAGGCAUAUAAUAUUGGAUCCAAACAAGAUCUACACAGAACCUAUUCUUGUAGCCACACCAGUUAAGAGUAUGUACAUAUACAAUAUGUAUUGUAUGUAUGUCUAUGUAUAUACAUAUUAUGACAUGAUCAUUUUGAUUGAUUGAUUUUGAAAUCAAAUGUAUUUUUACGUAGCCACUUUGAUAACAGUUAUUUUUCCAUGAGGAAAUUUGAUGCAGUCUAUAAAAUAAUUCAUUGCCCUUUGAUUUAAAAAGAUUAAAUAGUUUGUGAAAUUAUAUACCAUGAACUACUCCUAAGUUUCAUCUAAUGCCCACAACCACCCUUGAGGGGUAGAGAUUCUUA
rnacentral:lncRNA from 1 species